rnacentral:rRNA from 1 species
UCUAACCUAAGAGUUUGAUCCUGGCUCAGAACGAACGCUGGCGGCAUGCCUAACACAUGCAAGUCGAACGCUAUCUUUGAUAGAGUGGCGCACGGGUGAGUAACGCGUGGGAACCUGCCUUUUUCUGCGGGACAACGGUUGGAAACGACCGCUAAUACCGCAUACGCCCUACGGGGGAAAGGUCCGCCGGAGAAAGAGGGGCCCGCGUUUGAUUAGCUUGUUGGUAGGGUAAUGGCCUACCAAGGCGACGAUCAAUAGCUGGUCUGAGAGGAUGAUCAGCCACACUGGGACUGAGACACGGCCCAGACUCCUACGGGAGGCAGCAGUGGGGAAUAUUGGACAAUG